UACGGGGGGGGCUAGCGUUGUUCGGAAUUACUGGGCGUAAAGGGCGCGUAGGCGGUCUGCUAAGUUGGAUGUGAAAACUCUGGGCUUAACCCAGAGCCUGCAUUCAAUACUGACAGGCUAGAGUUCUGGAGGGGAUAGCGGAGUUCCUGGUGUAGCGGUGAAAUGCGUAGAUAUCAGGAGGAACACCGGUGGCGAAGGCGGCUAUCUGGACAGAGUCUGACGCUGAGGCGCGAAAGCUAGGGGAGCAAACAGG
rnacentral:rRNA from 1 species